rnacentral:lncRNA from 12 species
GGCCCGAGCAGCUGCGACCCGGCCCGCGUCCGCUCGGGGCUUCACCGCCCGGUAACACUCCCGGCCCCCGCGUGCAGGUGCAAACCGCUGCCACCGCGGCGUGGGCCUGAGCUGCCCUUGGGGACAGCCUCUGCCGGGGAAGGGCCCUCCUGCGACCACAGCCUGUCGCCUGGGGACGGCUAAGCAAGACGCUGCCCAAACCUGGGAGGAAGACCUACCCUGAAGCCGCAAGCUCUUUCCCACUUCGCCGGUGACCUUGGACGCCUCUUCUAAACAAGGUCAUCCUCAUCAAGAAUUUUUCCACCUGCCUCAGUUCUUGGGAGUAUUUCACGUUGUAAAUGAAUUCUUCCCUUCAACAAAAAUUAAUUUACUUAUAGAGCAUCUACUAGUAUGCCAGUCACAUUUAUAUGUGUUCUCUCUCAGACCAUCAUCCAGUUACCUCUUAAAUGUGAGUGUUUGCUUGGCUGUCCACUGAUCUCACAAUCAGUAGUCAACUGUGUGUAUAACGUCUCCUACUCAGUUCCUAUAUCCAGUGAGUAGGAAUGAGGAAAUUUGUUGCACGGACCUCCCUCAGCUAGAUUCAAGAUGUUCUGUGAAAUGGAAAUGUAGCCGAAUGGAAAGCAAGAUUGACAGUGAGAAUCCUCAAUCUGCCAUUUAUGAAGGAUAAUUUGUUCAACAUUAAAUAUAAAAAGCUCUGCCUGAUGGUUGCAUUAUAACCAGUGGGGUGUCUUGUCAACCAACGUGCUCGGAAACAGGUUUAUACAACUCACUCUUUUUCAGUAAUUAUUGCCUUUUAAGUGAGAGCAUCUAAGCAUGUUAAAUGAGACUUAGUUCAUAAUUGUCAGAUAUUAGUAUAAUGGAUUCAACUAAAAGGAUUUUAGACAUUUG